AAAUUGAAGAGUUUGAUCAUGGCUCAGAUUGAACGCUGGCGGCAGGCCUAACACAUGCAAGUCGAACGGUAACAGGAAGCAGCUUGCUGCUUCGCUGACGAGUGGCGGACGGGUGAGUAAUGUCUGGGAAACUGCCUGAUGGAGGGGGAUAACUACUGGAAACGGUAGCUAAUACCGCAUAACGUCGCAAGACCAAAGAGGGGGACCUUCGGGCCUCUUGCCAUCGGAUGUGCCCAGAUGGGAUUAGCUAGUAGGUGGGGUAACGGCUCACCUAGG
rnacentral:rRNA from 1 species